GAUGAACGCUGCGGCGUGCUUAACACAUGCCAGUCGAACGAUGAAGCCCAGCUUGCUGGGUGGAUUAGUGGCGAACGGGUGAGUAACACGUGAGUAACCUGCCCUUAACUCUGGGAUAAGCCUGGGAAACUGGGUCUAAUACCGGAUAGGAGCGUCCACCGCAUGGUGGGUGUUGGAAAGAUUUAUCGGUUUUGGAUGGACUCGCGGCCUAUCAGCUUGUUGGUGAGGUAAUGGCUCACCAAGGCGACGACGGGUAGCCGGCCUGAGAGGGUGACCGGCCACACUGGGACUGAGACACGGCCCAGACUCCUACGGGAGGCAGCAGUGGGGAAUAUUGCACAAUGGGCGCAAGCCUGAUGCAGCGACGCCGCGUGAGGGAUGACGGCCUUCGGGUUGUAAACCUCUUUCAGUAGGGAAGAAGCGAAAGUGACGGUACCUGCAGAAGAAGCACCGGCUAACUACGUG
rnacentral:rRNA from 1 species